ACGAACUCCUACGGGAGGCAGCAGUGAGGAAUAUUGGUCAAUGGGCGAGAGCCUGAACCAGCCAAGUAGCGUGCAGGAUGACGGCCCUAUGGGUUGUAAACUGCAUUUUAUAAGGGAAUAAAGUGAGUCUCGUGAGACUUUUGCAUGUACCUUAUGAAUAAGGACCGGCUAAUUCCGUGC
rnacentral:rRNA from 1 species